rnacentral:rRNA from 1 species
GAUGAACGCUGGCGGCGUGCCUAAUACAUGCAAGUCGAGCGAACGGACGAGAAGCUUGCUUCUCUGAUGUUAGCGGCGGACGGGUGAGUAACACGUGGAUAACCUACCUAUAAGACUGGGAUAACUUCGGGAAACCGGAGCUAAUACCGGAUAAUAUUUUGAACCGCAUGGUUCAAAAGUGAAAGACGGUCUUGCUGUCACUUAUAGACGGAUCCGCGCUGCAUUAGCUAGUUGGUAAGGUAACGGCUUACCAAGGCAACGAUGCAUAGCCGACCUGAGAGGGUGAUCGGCCACACUGGAACUGAGACACGGUCCAGACUCCUACGGGAGGCAGCAGUAGGGAAUCUUCCGCAAUGGGCGAAAGCCUGACGGAGCAACGCCGCGUGAGUGAUGAAGGUCUUCGGAUCGUAAAACUCUGUUAUUAGGGAAGAACAUACGUGUAAGUAACUGUGCACAUCUUGACGGUACCUAAUCAGAAAGCCACGGCUAACCACGUG